CCAACGGGUGGCUGCAGUGGGGAAUUUUGGACAAUGGGCGCAAGCCUGAUCCAGCCAUGCCGCGUGAGUGAAGAAGGCCUUCGGGUUGUAAAGCUCUUUCGGCGGGGAAGAAAUGGCGCUUUCUAAUACAGAGCGUUGAUGACGGUACCCGCAUAAGAAGAACCGGCUAACUACGUGCCAGCAGCCGCGGUAAUACGUAGGGUGCGAGCGUUAAUCGGAAUUACUGGGCGUAAAGCGUGCGCAGGCGGUUGUGUAAGUCAGAUGUGAAAUCCCCGGGCUCAACCUGGGAACUGCAUUUGAGACUGCACGGCUAGAGUGUGACAGAGGGGGGUAGAAUUCCACGUGUAGCAGUGAAAUGCGUAGAGAUGUGGAGGAAUACCGAUGGCGAAGGCAGCCCCCUGGGUUACUACUGACGCUCAUGCACGAAAGCGUGGGGAGCAAACA
rnacentral:rRNA from 1 species